rnacentral:lncRNA from 1 species
AGUGGGGAUGGGUGUCUAGGUAAGGCACGAGAAAAUGGUACCUGAGGAAGGUGCUAGUUGGCUAAAAUGAAAGGAAAAUCUUGUUGGGAGUGCCUGUUAGGAGAAUGUAGGAAUCUUCACUGAAAGAACACUCAGUUGAAGGCAAGGAGAAUAGCUUGGACCUGAAGAUGUAUUUGUGAAUUUUGAACCCAGAGCUAAGAGAAAAAUAUAGAGUUGAAAGCUUUUAUGCGGCCUAAGAUCAGAAAUAAAUAUGAAAGAAGAAAUACCAUCUCCUAGGAAGAACAGAUCAGAAACAGAAAGAAAUCAGGUAUGUUUUCAACCCAAGACCCACUAAUUGAAUGGAAUUGUAGGUA